AACAAGCCGAGACGUCCCCUUAAAGUGCCGAGUCGACCCCAGACAACGUAAAAAGUAAAAUCUUGUAGCCGAGACGUCUCUCGUUGAAGCGGAGACGUCCCCGGAGCGCCUGGGAUGCGACUGACAACUUUUCAGGUUUGGUUUGAAUUUCAAAUCCUUUUUACUUUGUCUCUAACGGCUAUAUUUGCUUUUUGGGCUAUAAAAGGGACCUCUUAAGUGCUUCUCAACAACUCUUCACCAACCCAAAGCUAGAUCAUUCAAGAGAGAAGUAAGAAAGAAAAGUUCAAGGGAGUGAGUGCAUUCAAGUGAAGAAAUCAAGUGUUUUCAAGCUUCCCAAGUGAUUUCAAGCUCAACCACUCUCGUGCGCUUGGGAUUCAAAGCUCACACUCAAUCCUACGCGCUCCACAUCGGAAGAAUCAAUAUCUCCCACGCUUCCAACGGCAAAAGGAUUCUUCCGGGUUCUAUUGUUCAUAAUUGCAAUAUUUGCUUUUUAGAGCUUUUCCUUUCUUUUGUAAAUUCUUUCGUUGUGGUGCUUGUUCCAGUCAAGGGACUUGGAACAAGGGAAAGGCGUCCCAAGCCUAAGUAAAAUUGGGGGUUUUAGGGUUUGUUGUGAGCCCGGUGUAAAACAACGAGUUGGGUAGUGAACUCGCAAAACUACCGUACUGUAAUCGUGGAUUAUAGUGGAAAUUCCCAAAGGUGAUUUGGGGAGUGGAUGUAGGAGCAGUGGAAGCUCCGAACUACUAUAAAAUCUUGUGUUUGCGAUUGACCUUUCUCAUUCCUCCUUCUUUACUUUAGUGCAUAUAUUCGUGUGUUUUAUUUUUAAUUAGUCAAAAGUUUUUAAAACACCCAAUUCAUCCCCCUCUUGGGUGACCAUCUCUGGGCAACAAUUAAAUAGGGGCAGUUUAUUUGAAAAGAAUUGAUUUUGAUCCUUGAUAUGCUUACUCUUAAUAUUCUAAUGCAUGACUUAACACAUAAUAUAUUUUACAUAUGGCAUGAUGCUUUAAAUUAUGGAUUCUCAAUAUUUUGUAAUGCUCCAUGCUUGGACAAUUUGAUUGAAUGUUUGAAAUACUACAUAAAUUUUUUUUGGUAUUAUUGAAAAGAAAUUUCAGAUUUGUCAUUCACAAUCAUCGUUAAAAUCUGAAAGUUGAAUAAAUUUGUAAAAAGGAGAAGAGAAGGAUAUCUCUAUU
rnacentral:lncRNA from 1 species